UCCCUCAGUAGCGGCGAGCGAACAGGGAUGAGCCCAGCGCCGAAUCCGCAGGUCUUCGGACUCUGUGGAAAUGUGGCGUGUGGGAGGCGUGGUGCCGUCGGCGAGUUUCCGGUGCGGUAAGUCCCCUCGAUCGGGGCAGAGGGAGAUCGCGUCUCUGUGUGAGACGCCCUCCCACCAGAGCGGGUGAUAGUCCCGUGUCCGCAUCGGGCGUCGUUUCGGAUCGCUCGCCUCCCCUGAGUCGGGUUGCUUGGAAGUGCAGCCCUAAGAAAGGUGGUAAAAUCCAUCUAAGGCUAAAUACGACUGCGAAACCGAUAGCGAACAAGUACCGUGAGGGAAAGUUGCAAAGAACUUUGAAGAGAGAGUUCAAGAGUGCGUGAAACUGCUCAGAGGGAAACGGGUGGGCGAAAGAAGCCCCCCGGUGGCGUAGUGACGGGACGGUUCCGUACCCGUUACAUUUCCGCGUCGCGUCGGUAAUGCCUCGGUGUUAUUCGAUUGGCGGUCGCGGCGGGACGUACUCCGUACCCAGAAACGCCCGUAGAGAGAUGGGGCGCCGUCGCCGGUUGGUUCACGGCGGUUUCGAGGCGUGGAUUGACGCGUCGCGGUUCUGAUCGGUGGGAAGCCUCGCUCACGCGUGGCCGCCGACUCAACUUGUCCGCGAGCGCCGCGUCGUCUGCGAUUCCGCGACCGACCGGAUGAUUGGAAUGCGUGGCGGAGGAGACAGCGUUGACGGUGAUUGUUCUACCCGGAUCGUCUUGUGACGCGGCGUCGUGUCGGCGACGGAGCUUUGAAGGGCGGCUUCGGCCGUGCUCCGUUUCGUCUGGCAGGCUCACGCGGGACGCGGGUCAGUGUGAAUAGAGCAAGUCAGAUCGUUACCCUCCGCUGUUACGACGGCGAGAUUAACUGUCGGAUGCCCACCCGACCCNNNNNNNNNNNNNGACCAAGGAGUCCGACUCGUGCGCGAGUCGAAGGGUCUUGAAUAGGCCCGAAGGCGAAGCGAAAGCGAACCCGUGACUCCGCGUUAGAGAUCGCGCGGAAGCAACGGGGACCCGGCAGUAUAUGAUCGGGCGAGCCGUGGCCGAGAGAAGCGGCCGGGCGGAUCGUGCUUGCACUUUCCGUUCCGGACGUAUUAGCGGUGCACGGUCGAGUUCCCGAUCUGUCGGAGUCUGGAGCGCACGGGUUGGUACCCGAAAGAUGGUGAACUAUGCUCAGCCCGGUUGAAGGCGCGGGAAACGGUGCCGGAGGACCCUAGGGGUUCUGACGUGCAAAUCGAUCCCGUGAGCCACGUAUAGGGGCGAAAGACUAAUCGAACCAUCUAGUAGCUGGUUCCCUCCGAAGUUUCCCGUAGGAUAGCCGGCGCUCGUGACAGAGCAGUCGCUCCUCGUAGAGCGAAUGAAUAGAGGCCCCGGGGGCCUCUGACGCCCUCGACCUAUUAUCAAACUGCAACGAGGUGCGUCGGAACGGUCUGGGA
rnacentral:rRNA from 1 species